rnacentral:rRNA from 1 species
AGAGUUUGAUCCUGGCUCAGGAUGAACGCUGGCGAGAUGCCUUACACAUGCAAGUCGUACGGGAAUUUUUAAUUCAAGUGGCGGACGGGUGAGUAACACGUAAGAAUUUGCCUUUAGGAGGGGGACAACAACUGGAAACGGUUGCUAAUACCCCAUAUGCUUUCGAGUGAAAUGGAUUUUUCCGCCUAAAGAGAAGCUUGCGGCUGAUUAGCUUGUUGGUGAGGUAAUGGCUCACCAAGGCGACGAUCAGUAUCUGGUUUGAGAGGAUGAUCAGACACACUGGAACUGAGACACGGUCCAGACUCCUACGGGAGGCAGCAGUGGGGAAUUUUCCGCAAUGGGCGAAAGCCUGACGGAGCAAUCUCGCGUGAGGGAUGACGGCCUAUGGGUUGUAAACCUCUUUUUUCAGGGAGGAACAAAAUGACGUGUACCUGAAGAAUAAGCAUCGGCUAACUCCGUGCCAGCAGCCGCGGUAAG